UUAUUAUUCGAAAAUGAAAAACAACGCAUGUUUAAUUAUUUUAUGAUAUCGAUUGAAACGAAUCUGAAAUGAAAGGAGUAGACAAUAUUGGUUUAUAAAACACGAAUUCAUGUCCUAGUUAUUACAAAAUCAGAAGAUCGAUUUGGGAAUUAAUACGAACGAAGAAGUGAAUUAUUAAAUGUCUUUGAUGUCUCGUCAAUUAUUUUACGAUGUAAUAUACAGCAUGACGACGAAAAAAAAGAGAAUAAUAUGUAUCAUUCUACCGUCAAAAAAUAGCUUUCAUAAUCGAGCUUAUUGUUAGUUAUUAAAAGUACAUAGUAUAUAAUGCGUCUUGUGUGCAUACUAGGAUGUUGUACCGUUGAAUAUAUCUUCUCUCAAAAGAAUUUUUACAUUACUAUGAUAAUAUGACGUCUUCACACAACUCGAACAAUGGCCGUUAUCAGAUGCAUCGAAAAUAAAACCUUCCGCGUCUUUUUGCUUGAAAUA
rnacentral:lncRNA from 1 species